AUACGGAAGGCCCGAGCGUUAAUCGGAAUCACUGGGCUUAAAGCGUGCGCAGGCGGACAUGUAGGUGUCCUGUGAAAUCCCUCGGCUCAACCGGGGAACUGCAGGGCAAACCCCAUGUCUUGAGGCAGGUAGGGGUCGAUGGAACUGUCGGUGGAGCGGUGAAAUGCGUAGAUAUCGACAGGAACGCCAGUGGCGAAGGCGAUCGACUGGGCCUGUCCUGACGCUCAGGCACGAAAGCGUGGGGAGCAAACAGGAUUAGAAACCCCGGUAGUCC
rnacentral:rRNA from 1 species